UGAGACCAUUAUUCUUAUCCAGGCACUAUUUUUUUGCUUUAUUGUUAGACCUAGUAAGGUGGAAGCCUGUUAUGUUAACAAGUGAUAAGUAGAACUCAGAUAGCAAACAAUCAAUGCUCAGAUUGUGCUUUGGUAAAUGCAAUCUUCUGCUUUUCUGGAGUUAAUUAUCUCUCAAUUCUUCUUCAGAACAUAGAAGAAACAUUAUUGGGCCAAAAAGAAACAAAAUGCUGAUUUUCGCCUUAUCGCCGACGCCUUGAUCUCAUCGCCGUCUUCGUCGUCGCCUUGGUCUCAUUACCGUCUUUCUCGUUGUCUUCGUGUCAUCGCCGUCGUCUCAUCGCCAUCUUCUUCUUCGUCGCCGUCAUCUCAUCGCCGUUCUCAUCGCCAUCGUCUCAUCGCCAUCGUCUCAUCGCCAUCUUCUUCUUCGUCGCCGUCGUCGCAUCGCCGUAUUCUUCGUCGUCGCCGCUGUUUCAUCGCCGUCUUCUUCGUUGUCGCCGUUGUCUCAUCGCCGUCUUCUUCGUUGUCGCCGUCGUCGCAUCGCCGUCUUCUUCAUUGUCGCCGUCGUCGCAUCGCCGUCUUCUUCGUUGUCGCCGCUGUUUGAUCGCCGUCUUCUUCGUUGUCGCCGUUGUCUCAUCGCCGUCUUCUUCGUCAAGCAUGACCUUGCCGUGGAGCUACUCGGGUAUUGUUGUAUUUUGAGUUGUUGUAUGUUGUGUUGUAUAGUUAACCCGUUGGCUGCCACCCCGUUUGCUCCCAUUUUUUUUUUAGCUGUAGGGACCGAGCGCACUGCUCUGCCUCAUGGCCAUGGGGUAGGGCAGUGCUCCGCCGCAAGGCGGUUAGGCAAUGCACCAGUAGGGAAUUCUCUUUGUUCGAUGCGGUGAUGGUUUCCUGAGGGUGUGCAUUCCCUGUAAAGGUUUCCAUCGCCGUGUCAGCCCGGACUUGUCUUCGGACAAGUCCCCCUUGGUCGGCGAUCCUUCAGACGCGAGAUGUAGCUACUGUAGUUUAAGCAACCUACGGGUUGCAUGGCCUGGCAGCCAACGGGUUAACUAGUUUGUUGUAUGUGUAUCUAUGUAUGUAUUUAUAUUUGUAAUUAUGUGUAUUGUGUUGUAUGUAAAAUAGUGGUGGAAUUGUGGGUGGAGGAGGGACAAUAGAACAAUUCUUUCGUUAA